GGAAGCUCGAGCUGGACAUGCAAACGGAAUUACAGACGGAUCUGAUCAUUCAAUCCCUUAUGAGUUCAUAUAGUCAAUUUAUUGUAAAUUUUCAUAUGAACAAACUUAAUUGUACUAUUUCUAAACUAGUCAACAUGUUGGUCACUACGAAGAGUGUCUUGAAGAGUUCAAGGGGCACUAUUUUUGCUGUGGAGCAAACUUUUUCUUCGAAGAGAAAGUCUACUGGAAGGAAGAAGGUUAAAUCCAUGAAGAAGCAGAAGAAAAAGAGCAAGCCGAAGAAGGAUGAUCCAAAAGUGGCUGAAGCAAAGAAAAAAUAUUUCCAUUGUCAUGCUGAAGGCCACUGAAGGAGGAACUGUCCUGUCUACCUGGAGAGCAUAAAGAACAAAAAGAUUGAUAAACUUUCUGAAGGUAUGCUCGUAAUUGAAUCUAACCUUACGAUUUCUUCUUCUUCUAGUUGGGUAUUAGACUAUGAUUCGAGUGCUCAUAUAUGUAUCUCAAUGCAGGAUCUAAUAGAAAGUAGAAGGUUGAGAGAAGGUGACAUGAUCCUUCAGGUCGGCAAUGGAGCAAAAGUUGCUGCAGAGGUCGUAGGUGCUUAUCCUCUUCGGUUACCGUCUGGGUUUAGAUUAGAUUUGAAAGACUAUUAUUAUUUUUCUGUAGCUAGUCGAAAUUUGAUUUCCACAUUUGUGCUAGCAUAGGAAGGUUUUGAAAUUAGUUUGAAUAAAGAUUUUUGUUCUAUUUAUAUAUGAAAUAAAUUGAUUGUACGAGGUCUUUUAAUUGACAGUCUUUAUCACUUACAUGUUGAUGCAAAUAUGAACCUAAAUGAGCAAAUAGUGAGUGCCAUAAACCAAAAAAAAUUCAGAGAUGAAAUUAACUAAAAAUACUUGUGACACCAUAGACUAAGCCAUAUUGGAGAGAACAGGANNNNNNNNNNNNNNNNNNNNAUAAAGAUUUUUUGUUCUAUUUAUAUAUGAAAUAAAUUGAUUGUACGAGGUCUUUUAAUUGACAGUCUUUAUCACUUACAUGUUGAUGCAAAUAUGAACCUAAAUGAGCAAAUAGUGAGUGCCAUAAGCCAAAAAAAAUUCAGAGAUGAAAUUAACUAAAAAUACUUGUGACACCAUAGACUAAGCCAUAUUGGAGAGAAC
rnacentral:lncRNA from 1 species